rnacentral:rRNA from 1 species
GAUGAACGCUGGCGGCGUGCCUAAUACAUGCAAGUCGAGCGAACGGACGAGAAGCUUGCUUCUCUGAUGUUAGCGGCGGACGGGUGAGUAACACGUGGAUAACCUACCUAUAAGACUGGGAUAACUUCGGGAAACCGGAGCUAAUACCGGAUAAUAUUUUGAACCGCAUGGUUCAAAAGUGAAAGACGGUCUUGCUGUCACUUAUAGAUGGAUCCGCGCUGCAUUAGCUAGUUGGUAAGGUAACGGCUUACCAAGGCAACGAUGCAUAGCCGACCUGAGAGGGUGAUCGGCCACACUGGAACUGAGACACGGUCCAGACUCCUACGGGAGGCAGCAGUAGGGAAUCUUCCGCAAUGGGCGAAAGCCUGACGGAGCAACGCCGCGUGAGUGAUGAAGGUCUUCGGAUCGUAAAACUCUGUUAUUAGGGAAGAACAUAUGUGUAAGUAACUGUGCACAUCUUGACGGUACCUAAUCAGAAAGCCACGGCUAACUACGUGCCAGCAGCCGCGGUAAUACGUAGGUGGCAAGCGUUAUCCGGAAUUAUUGGGCGUAAAGCGCGCGUAGGCGGUUUUUUAAGUCUGAUGUGAAAGCCCACGGCUCAACCGUGGAGGGUCAUUGGAAACUGGAAAACUUGAGUGCAGAAGAGGAAAGUGGAAUUCCAUGUGUAGCGGUGAAAUGCGCAGAGAUAUGGAGGAACACCAGUGGCGAAGGCGACUUUCUGGUCUGUAACUGACGCUGAUGUGCGAAAGCGUGGGGAUCAAACAGGAUUAGAUACCCUGGUAGUCCACGCCGUAAACGAUGAGUGCUAAGUGUUAGGGGGUUUCCGCCCCUUAGUGCUGCAGCUAACGCAUUAAGCACUCCGCCUGGGGAGUACGACCGCAAGGUUGAAACUCAAAGGAAUUGACGGGGACCCGCACAAGCGGUGGAGCAUGUGGUUUAAUUCGAAGCAACGCGAAGAACCUUACCAAAUCUUGACAUCCUUUGACAACUCUAGAGAUAGAGCUUUCCCCUUCGGGGGACAAAGUGACAGGUGGUGCAUGGUUGUCGUCAGCUCGUGUCGUGAGAUGUUGGGUUAAGUCCCGCAACGAGCGCAACCCUUAAGCUUAGUUGCCAUCAUUAAGUUGGGCACUCUAAGUUGACUGCCGGUGACAAACCGGAGGAAGGUGGGGAUGACGUCAAAUCAUCAUGCCCCUUAUGAUUUGGGCUACACAGGUGCUACAAUGGACAAUACAAAGGGCAGCGAAACCGUGAGGUCAAGCAAAUCCCAUAAAGUUGUUCUCAGUUCGGAUUGUAGUCUGCAACUCGACUACAUGAAGCUGGAAUCGCUAGUAAUCGUAGAUCAGCAUGCUACGGUGAAUACGUUCCCGGGUCU